GAGAAGAACGUAGCGAAAUGCGAUAAGUAAUGUGAAUUGCAGAAUUCAGUGAAUCAUCGAAUCUUUGAACGCAUCUUGCGCUCCUUGGUAUUCUGAGGAGCAUGCCUGUUUGAGUGUCAUUAAAUUCUCAACUACACUGACUUUGAAUUGGUGUGGCUUGGAUUUGGGGGGAAAAUUGUUGUGGGCUUUUUGUAUAGUCUGCUCCCCUGAAAUUGAUUAGCGGUACCUUUGUGGAACUGUCUACAGGUGUGAUAAUUAUCUGCAUCUUAGACAUCUGCUGGAAUGCUGCUUUCUAAACCUUACUUGUAUUGACAAUCUUGACCUCAAAUCAGGUAGGACUACCCGCUGAACUUAAGCAUAUCAAUAAGCGGAGGA
rnacentral:misc_RNA from 1 species